rnacentral:rRNA from 1 species
UACGUAGGUGGCAAGCGUUGUCCGGAAUUAUUGGGCGUAAAGCGCGCGCAGGCGGGUUUUUUAAGUCUGUCUUAAAAGUUCGGGGCUUAACCCCGUGAGGGGAUGGAAACUGGAAGCCUAGAGUAUCGGAGAGGAAAGCGGAAUUCCUAGUGUAGCGGUGAAAUGCGUAGAUAUUAGGAAGAACACCAGUGGCGAAGGCGGCUUUCUGGCCCAUGACUGACGCUGAGGUGCGAAAGCCGGGGGAGCGAACGGG